UACGUAGGGUCCGAGCGUUGUCCGGAAUUACUGGGCGUAAAGAGCUCGUAGGUGGUUUGUCGCGUUGUUCGUGAAAACUCACAGCUCAACUGUGGGCGUGCGGGCGAUACGGGCAGACUGGAGUACUGCAGGGGAGACUGGAAUUCCUGGUGUAGCGGUGGAAUGCGCAGAUAUCAGGAGGAACACCGGUGGCGAAGGCGGGUCUCUGGGCAGUAACUGACGCUGAGGAGCGAAAGCGUGGGGAGCGAACAGGG
rnacentral:rRNA from 1 species